rnacentral:misc_RNA from 1 species
GAUGAAGAACGUAGCGAAAUGCGAUAAGUAAUGUGAAUUGCAGAAUUCAGUGAAUCAUCGAAUCUUUGAACGCACAUUGCGCCCGCUAGUAUUCUGGCGGGCAUGCCUGUCCGAGCGUCAUUUCAACCCUCAAGCCCCCGGGCUUGGUGUUGGGGAUCGGCGAGCCUCCGCGCCCGCCGUCCCCUAAAUCUAGUGGCGGUCUCGCUGUAGCUUCCUCUGCGUAGUAGCACACCUCGCACUGGGAAACAGCGCGGCCACGCCGUUAAACCCCCAACUUCUGAACGUUUGACCUCGCAUCAGGUAGGAAUACCCGCUGAACUUAAGCAUAUCAAUAAGCGGAGGA